UACGGCCAUAUUACAUUGAAACACCAUUUCCCAUACAAUCACCAAACUUAAGCAACAUCGAGCCUUGUCAAUACUAAGAUGGGUGACCACUUGGAAAUACAAGGUGUUGUAAG